CGCCCGUCCUCUCGAUCCGUCCCCUCCCGCUGCGGCCUCUCUCUUUCCCUCGUCUCCCGCUCCACCGCCGCCGCCCCAUCUUCUGCUCCUCCGCCGCCGCCCCAUCUCCUGCUCCGCCGCCGAGAGGAGUUGCCCUUCGCCGCCGCCGAGAUCCCGUGCCUCUCUACAGAUCCCUCCCUCUCUCCUCUUCGUCCAUCCACCUAAUCAAAAAUCGAAACCCGCCGCCCCUCUGUCUCCGCUGGUGCUCGAAGGAAGACAAGGGCUCCUCCUCCCGGCGAUUCCCUGUGGUCCUCGGCGGCGGAGACAGCUAGGUCAAUCCUCUUUCUCUGGCUCACCGAAUUUGCCCGGGCCGGCGAGCUAGGGUUAGGGUUACCAGCUCGACGCCGCCGCCCCGUGAUGUCGCAGGUGCCGCUAUUACCCGCCGUCGACCCCAUGUGCUCGUGGCCGGCCCGUAUCGAUGUUGUUGUUCGUGGCUGGGCCCCCUUGUUGUGUUCGUGCUGCUGCUGCUUACUGUGCUCACAUGCAGAGGUCGUGCGUCCGCCUUGAUUUAUACAUCGCCUUUCUUGCGGACCUCUAGGUCGCCGUCAGGCCACGUCGACGCCACUUGCAUCAAACCCGAGGGCAGGGCUCUUCGAACCCCGUGGAAGGGCGGCCUGGGAUGAGCGAACCAUACAAAGGGACUAAACCUCGCUACGUUCAUCUAUUAUAAGAUCCCACAUCUCUGUAUACUUGUAUUUGUAGUUUUGUACACAUAUGUUGAGGUCACAUGGCCGCUCGUCUGUACACAUAUGUUAAGAUCACACAUGCUGCCCUAGGACGAGGUGUUAAGAUCCCACAUCUGGAACCUCUGGAAGUAAUACAUUUUUGGUUAAAUGUUGUGUCACUGGCUGGGCGCUGAGAUCCCCAUCAGUGAGCAGCCAUUAACGCCUCUUCAAAAAGCAUAGCAGUGGACAUGUUGUUAGACCUAGCUCCCAAUUCUGUUCCUCUUGUCUGUUAAGGUUCAAUUGUCGCUUCAUUUUGUGAAUGUCAACCUCGUGGACCUAGCUCCCAAUUCUGUUCCUCAGUUUGUAUUAGUAAAUAUGUAGUUCACACGCACUUGAAUGUCAUGGUAUUGCAAUCACAUCCAUUCUUAUGCUAUAUGUUGUUUGUUUACAAUAGGCAGUUUUUGUGUUAGUUUAACUCAUAUUUCUGCAUACUUUGUACCUGUUCUGUUGUUUCAAUCCAUUGGAGCCUCUGUUGUCUUCACUAUGUUGUUUCAAUCCAUUGGAGCCUCUAUGGUUAAACUCAUAUUUCUGCAUACUUUGUACCUGUACCUGUUCUGUUGUCUUCACUAUGCUGUGUCCAUUGAUCCAUAACUGAGCAUAACUAUGAUGCCUUGUUUGGUUAAUACUUGCAGGGCAGAACAUCCGGAAGCUGGUAAAGGAUGGUUUAACCAUCAAGAAGCCUCAGAACAUCCGGAAGCUGGUAAAGGAUGGUUUAACCAUCAAGAAGCCUCAGAAGAUCCACUACAGGUUUCAUGCAAGGAGGGCACAUGAGGCCAAGCAGAAGGGCCAUCACUCUGGAUAUGGUUUGUAGCUGCAACUUUAAUUGGCACGAGGGUGUUCAUUUGUGCAUAUAUAUGUUGUAACCUAUGAUUUUGUUCUCUGCACGGGUAAGCAUAUGGGUACUAGGGAGGCUAGGCUCCCCACCAAGAUCCUGUCGAUGAAGAGAAUACGCAUCCUGAGGCCUCUUCCGCGCAAGUACCGUGAGGCCAAGAAGAUUGACACGCACAUGUACCGUGACAUGUACCUGAAAGUCAAGGUAACAUGUUCAAUCACAGGAGGUGUUUGCAUGUAAAGUAUCUACAAGUCCAAGGCUGAGAAGAAAAGAGAGAAGACCCUCUCUGACCAGUUUGAGGCCAUGUGCGCUAAUACCAAGGUAAUUUGGAGAGGAAGAUUGCGAGGAAGGAGGAGAGAUUGGCUCAGGUGGUCGAAUCAAGCAUGCUAUCAACAGUACUUUAGUUAAUACGAUUGUGAUUUCACAUAAUAAAUACUGAAGUUCAGUACUAGCUCCAAGGUGAGUAGUUCAAUUACUGAUAAUGGAGGUAAUUAAGUGGUUAGCUAAAAUGAUAAGGAGUUGAUGUGUUCACUCCAGUCAUGUGUCUGAUUUCCUGAAAGUUGUUAAUCUGUCGGAUGCAUAUUUUUUCCUAGAUGCCCCCACUCCUCCAUCGCCAGGUUCUCCAUCUUCUUAGAUCCCUCCCUGCCAUGACGAACAUCUCCCUUGACGCCGGAAACUGCAUUUUGUGUUCACUAACCUACCGAUCCUUUAGAGGCCCACUAUCCAGAUUUGAUGUGAUAGGGUACAACAUGUAAAUAUAUAUAAUUCAGCUAUCCAUGAUCUAUCAAUCUUACCAAGAUGGUUUUAUCUUAUAGGACAUCAUAAGUGCACAUGUCUCCUGUUGGAUGUUUCAGAGAUGCUUAUGCAGAGUUUCUUUAAACAUUUGGGUUCACAGAACCAGCUAAUGAAAUUUACGUGCUCUGAUGAUGAAUUCGUGCCAUGUUGAGUUGGAUUGGCAGCGGCGUAUUUUUCUUCUUCUGGUUUAGUCAAAUUAGUGAGAUGAUUUGUUCUCUUCUUUAUAUGAACGUACGUGCUUAUACAAUGUAAUUAGGUGCAGUACUUUUGGUCAGUCAAAGCAGAAGAAAGCUACAUGUAUGACCAGUAUUGGGUCACGACGAGAGCAUAAUGUAGCUUCGUCCCUCCCUGAUGCUGCUAAUGCGAGAUGCAUAGGAAUCGUAUUCAAAAUCAAAAACUGACAUACCAUGCAAUCUUGUCUAAUGUCUUUCAUUAAAUCUACUCAGAGGUGCUGGCCGGCCGGUACAUACGUCAGUGCAUCAUCUAUCUCAGACUCUCAGUCACAUCUAUGAUAAUUGGAGUAUAUUCAUCUCCAGUUAUAGCCUCAUAUUUUUUUUGGACAUUCAUUUACAGCCCCAUCUACAUGGAUGUGCAGGCCUAGGAGUUGGAACAAUUCACCAAGAGAAGCCACCAGUUCGUGUAUGACAGAAUAGGUGGAAUUUAUUGUGAGAUCUUACCCAAAUCCGAGUACUUCUCCAAGGCACUGUAGAUAUUCCAUCAUGCCCAAAAUGAUCUCACCAAGGAGCGGUUCACUGCAGCAAUGUAGGUACAAUUCAAGCUAAUUUGCUGACAAUCUUGCUCACAGCCAAGAAAAUUUUAGUUCUGAUUCUUUGAAAAAAAUCAAGUUCUUGGCACAAUUAAUAUUGCAUGAUCUGUGUUGGCUACAAUUUAUUCAUGCUUGCUUUGAAUUCUUGGUUCAUGGGAAUAAUUUAUAAUUUUAUCUCUGUACUACACAUGUAAUAUAACUUGUACAAGGAGAAGAAGCUUGUCAAGUUUUACCUCUAUACUAGACAUGUAAUAUAACUUGUAGAAGAAGAGUACUAGACAUGUACUCCCUCUUCCCAAAAUUCUUGUCUUAGAUUUAUCUAGAUACGGAUGUAUCUAACACUAAAAUGUGAAUAGAUACAUCCGUAUGUAGACAAAUCUAAGACAAGAAUUUUGGGACAGAGGGAGUACAUUUUAAGGCCGAACCAGGCUUGUAUUUACUUGUAGAGAAGAAGAAGCUUGUCCAUUUGCUCUCAACGAAUUUGCCAGGCUGGUCUCACAACCGAGCCAUAUCUACGAUGCUCAAUAUCUUGUUGCUUUUCUCUCUGAACCCUUCGGUAUGAGGCCCAAGCUUUGCCAAAUUAGUAAUCUGGCUUAUCCAUUCACUUGCAAGUUGCAAUCAUGAGAGGAUUCCGGACCUUAAAAUUUCAAUGCAUUUUGUUUAGCACUAAAUGUCGGAAACUGAAAAUCAUAAGAGGAUCGGAUGCAUCCGUCUGUAGUUUUUACCAGUAGAUAUGUGGAACAAUACUUCUGCUUGUGUUUCCUACCAUGUUUGUUUACAUUCACUGAUCCUUUGGUUUACCAAGAAAUUCCUGAAACACAGCCAUCUAAGUACUUUUACUAUUGCAUCAGGUGGUCGAAUCAAGCAUGCUAUCAACAGUACUUUAGUUAAUACGAUUGUGAUUUCACAUAAUAAAUACUGAAGUUCAGUACUAGCUCCAAGGUGAGUAGUUCAAUUACUGAUAAUGGAGGUAAUUAAGUGGUUAGCUAAAAUGAUAAGGAGUUGAUGUGUUCACUCCAGUCAUGUGUCUGAUUUCCUGAAAGUUGUUAAUCUGUCGGAUGCAUAUUUUUUCCUAGAUGCCCCCACUCCUCCAUCGCCAGGUUCUCCAUCUUCUUAGAUCCCUCCCUGCCAUGACGAACAUCUCCCUUGACGCCGGAAACUGCAUUUUGUGUUCACUAACCUACCGAUCCUUUAGAGGCCCACUAUCCAGAUUUGAUGUGAUAGGGUACAACAUGUAAAUAUAUAUAAUUCAGCUAUCCAUGAUCUAUCAAUCUUACCAAGAUGGUUUUUAUCUUAUAGGACAUCAUAAGUGCACAUGUCUCCUGUUGGAUGUUUCAGAGAUGCUUAUGCAGAGUUUCUUUAAACAUUUGGGUUCACAGAACCAGCUAAUGAAAUUUACGUGCUCUGAUGAUGAAUUCAUGCCAUGUCGAGUAAGAUGAUGCUUAUCCAUUCACUUGCAAGUUGCAAUCAUGAGAGGAUUCCGGACCUUAAAAUUUCAAUGCAUUUUGUUUAGCACUAAAUGUCGGAAACUGAAAAUCAUAAGAGGAUCGGAUGCAUCCGUCUGUAGUUUUUACCAGUAGAUAUGUGGAACAAUACUUCUGCUUGUGUUUCCUACCAUGUUUGUUUACAUUCACUGAUCCUUUGGUUUACCAAGAAAUUCCUGAAACACAGCCAUCUAAGUACUUUUACUAUUGCAUCAGGUGGUCGAAUCAAGCAUGCUAUCAACAGUACUUUAGUUAAUACGAUUGUGAUUUCACAUAAUAAAUACUGAAGUUCAGUACUAGCUCCAAGGUGAGUAGUUCAAUUACUGAUAAUGGAGGUAAUUAAGUGGUUAGCUAAAAUGAUAAGGAGUUGAUGUAUUCACUCCAGUCAUGUGUCUGAUUUCCUGAAAGUUGUUAAUCUGUCGGAUGCAUAUUUUUUCCUAGAUGCCCCCACUCCUCCAUCGCCAGGUUCUCCAUCUUCUUAGAUCCCUCCCUGCCAUGACGAACAUCUCCCUUGACGCCGGAAACUGCAUUUUGUGUUCACUAACCUACCGAUCCUCUAGAGGCCCACUAUCCAGAUUUGAUGUGAUAGGGUACAACAUGUAAAUAUAUAUAAUUCAGCUAUCCAUGAUCUAUCAAUCUUACCAAGAUGGUUUUUAUCUUAUAGGACAUCAUAAGUGCAAAUAGGAGUUGAAGGAAAGCAUGUUCCAGCAGAAAAAAUUGUUUAUGUGCACACAACUUAAGUAGCGAACGCUGAAUGUCAAGAGCUCGAUGAGAAGGUUCGCAAUAUUUGGAAUAUCCUGAGGACAUGCGGUGUACAUCCGCUGAAAAUUACAAUCGAAACCAAACAACCAGGCUUAUGUCGUAAGUUAGCUAUGAUCAGAGGGUCGACCGCUACCACUCCUUGCCCGCCACCAGCAACGAUGCGUCCUUCCCAUCACUCCACCACCUUAUAGCCAAGAGGACCAGACGCCUCUUUGCCUCAUGUUCUACCAGCGCUCAAGGCAAACAUGUAGCCCUUCGAGACCUACAAUGACAAUAUCAGAUUUCUCCACACCUACAAGAACUUAAGUGGCUUUCUUGAUUCCUAAUGGUGAGAUUCUCCAUGUCCAGUACUGUACCAUAAAUAACUUCAAUAUGUAUUAAACAGUGCUGAUGAAUGUGUGGGUGGGGAAAUGUAUAAUUCAGCACAUUUCUCAGUUCUAUAGGAAGUUUUAUCCUUGAGCUGGACCAUCAGGUAUCCACCUCUGAAACCACACUUCUGGUGUCCCCCUCUUUUGUUACCUCAAGUAUGGAUUACCCAUGUGCUACGAUUACUUAGAUUUGCACAUGAAUUUAAUAUGAAUACUUGCACUGAACUAUUAUUCAUUGAGCUAAGUAUUAAGUCUGGUUUGAAAUCUUUAUGUUUUUAGACCAGCGUAUAUCUGAAGUUCACUUUUUAGGACCCAAAGGGACGCUACUGGACAUGUUGAAUGGUAAGUAUGCAUUUUUGUCUAAUUCUAAGUUAGCGGUGGAUGUAUUCCAUGCUACCAUGUUGAUCAGAAUUGGGACUCUGAUUUCAAUCUUCGAGUCCGUGAUUGAUGCAUACAAGAGUUAUACAUUGUAUGGAAGAUAGUAUGAAGAAGUAAAGAGAAUAUUGGUAAAAAGCAUGGUGAGCAACAAGGUUUUCUUUAUCAUGUCAACCUGUGGUCUGAUUUGUAUUUUCUCGUUGGUUAUCGUAAAUAGUAGGUGUGUAUAUAUGUGUCUGAGGAUCAUAAACAGUGUGUUAAACAUGAUUGAUGUUGAACCACUAAAUAUGUGACGCACGGGCAAUAUCCUAAUUCAGGGAUGGAAAUUUUAAACUUCA